AUGAACGCUGGCGGCGUGCCUAAUCCCUGCCAGUCGAGCGGACAGAUGAGGAGCUUGCUCCUCUGACGUUAGCGGCGGACGGGUGAGUAACACGUGGAUAACCUACCUAUAAGACUGGGAUAACUUCGGGAAACCGGAGCUAAUACCGGAUAAUAUAUUGAACCGCAUGGUUCAAUAGUGAAAGACGGUUUUGCUGUCACUUAUAGAUGGAUCCGCGCCGCAUUAGCUAGUUGGUAAGGUAACGGCUUACCAAGGCAACGAUGCGUAGCCGACCUGAGAGGGUGAUCGGCCACACUGGAACUGAGCCACGGUCCAGACUCCUACGGGAGGCAGCAGUAGGGAAUCUUCCGCAAUGGGCGAAAGCCUGACGGAGCAACGCCGCGUGAGUGAUGAAGGUCUUCGGAUCGUAAAACUCUGUUAUUAGGGAAGAACAAAUGUGUAAGUAACUAUGCACGUCUUGACGGUACCUAAUCAGAAAGCCACGGCUAACUACGUG
rnacentral:rRNA from 1 species